rnacentral:tRNA from 27 species
UGAUAUGGCUCAGUUGGUAGAGCGCACCCUUGGUAAGGGUGAGGUCCCCAGUUCGACUCUGGGUAUCAGCACCA